ACACUCCUGCGGGAGGCAGCAGUGGGGAAUUUUGGACAAUGGGCGAAAGCCUGAUCCAGCAAUGCCGCGUGCAGGAUGAAGGCCUUCGGGUUGUAAACUGCUUUUGUACGGAACGAAAAAGCUCCUUCUAAUACAGGGGGCCCAUGACGGUACCGUAAGAAUAAGCACCGGCUAACUACGUGCCAGCAGCCGCGGUAAUACGUAGGGUGCGAGCGUUAAUCGGAAUUACUGGGCGUAAAGCGUGCGCAGGCGGUUAUGUAAGACAGAUGUGAAAUCCCCGGGCUCAACCUGGGAACUGCAUUUGUGACUGCAUGGCUAGAGUACGGUAGAGGGGGAUGGAAUUCCGCGUGUAGCAGUGAAAUGCGUAGAUAUGCGGAGGAACACCGAUGGCGAAGGCAAUCCCCUGGACCUGUACUGACGCUCAUGCACGAAAGCGUGGGGAGCAAACAGGAUUAGAUACCCUUGUAGUCCC
rnacentral:rRNA from 1 species